rnacentral:rRNA from 1 species
CCUACGGGAGGCAGCAGUGGGGAAUCUUGCGCAAUGGGCGAAAGCCUGACGCAGCGACGCCGCGUGAGGGAAGAAGGCCUUCGGGUUGUAAACCUCUUUCAGGAGGGACGAAGCCACUCGGGUUAAUACCCCGGAGGGUGACGGUACCUCCAGAAGAAGCCCCGGCUAACUACGUGCCAGCAGCCGCGGUAAUACGUAGGGGGCAAGCGUUGUCCGGAAUUAUUGGGCGUAAAGCGCGUGUAGGCGGCCAAGUAGGUCUGCUGUGAAAACUCGAGGCUCAACUUCGAGAUGUCGGCGGAAACCAUUUGGCUAGAGUCCGGAAGAGGAGAAUGGAAUUCCUGGUGUAGCGGUGAAAUGCGCAGAUAUCAGGAAGAACACCCGUGGCGAAGGCGGUUCUCUGGGACGGUACUGACGCUGAGACGCGAAAGCGUGGGGAGCGAACAGGAUUAGAUACCCUGGUAGUCCACGCCGUAAACGAUGGGUGCUAGGUGUGGGCGGUGUCGACUCCGUCCGUGCCGAAGCUAACGCAUUAAGCACCCCGCCUGGGGAGUACGGCCGCAAGGCUAAAACUCAAAGGAAUUGACGGGGGCCCGCACAAGCAGCGGAGCAUGUGGUUCAAUUCGACGAUACGCGAAGAACCUUACCAGGGCUUGACAUGCACUGGAAUGUCGUAGAAAUACGGCAGCCCUUCGGGGCUAGUGCACAGGUGGUGCAUGGCUGUCGUCAGCUCGUGUCGUGAGAUGUUGGGUUAAGUCCCGCAACGAGCGCAACCCUCGUUCUAUGUUGCCAGCACGCCCGCAUGGGGACUCAUAGGAGACUGCCGGGGUCAACUCGGAGGAAGGUGGGGAUGACGUCAAGUCAUCAUGCCCCUUAUGUCCAGCGCUUCACGCAUGCUACAUGGCCGGUACAAGGGCUGCGAUGCUGUAAUGCGGAGCGAAUCUAAAAAGCGGUCUCGGCUCGGAUCGGGGUCUGCAACUCGCCUCAUGAAUGCCGUAGUUG